UCUAUGAAUGUCCAUUGUGACGACCACACCUAGCAGCUCUCCAUUGUUGUGUGCAACUGCCCAGCCACUCAUGCUGGCUACACGCUCCAGACACACACUGGCCUGGAGCAGACAGGAGAUACUGGAUCUCCUGGGACUGUGGAGAGUAGAGGCUGUAUGGGCACGGCUACAGACCAGCCGUAGAAAUGGGGAGAUCUACGAGCAGAUUGCAUGGGGGAUGCAGGAGAAGGGGUACGACAGGGAUCAGCAGUAGUGCCGUAUGAAAGCGAAGGAACUGAGGCAGGCAUACCAGAAGGGUGGAGAGUCCAACAGUCAAUCUAGUGCUGAGCCACAGACCUGCUGCUUUUACAAAGAGCUGCAUGCCAUACUUGGUGGAGACCCCACCACCACCUCACAGACCACUCUAGGUUCCGCUGAGGAGCCCGAGACACAGACCCCUGCCAUGAACAGCACAGAAGAGGAGGCGAAUGGGAGACAUGCAACCAGCAGGGUCCAGCUAUGCCACAAUCCAGGACCUGUUUGAGACACCCCCACAGUCAGUGCCACAAUCCAGGACCUUGAGACACCCCCACAGUCCAGUGUGCACGGGCGACCCAAUGCCGGGGAAGGAACCUUGGCCGCUGCCGUGGCCUUGAGGGGUUCCCCCUCCACACCUGCAGGACGCCUGAAGCACAUGAGAAGAAAGACGAGGACUUGGGAUGAUAUGUUCAGCGAGAUCUUGCAAGCCAGUGCUGCAUCAGAUUGUGAGCAGAGGGCGUGGAGGGUGAAUAUUGCAGACUGUAAGGAGAGGGAAAGAGUGGACAGGAGAGAGGUCCAGGAGUCUCAGCAGGCAAAGGAGAGGGAGAUGCACCAGGAUAUAAUGUUGCAGACUCUUGAGGACCUACAGGUUCAACAAUAAUGGGCUCACCUCCCUAUGCAGCCCUUGGAGAAAUUCCAUUUUAGCACGUCCCUACGUCCCCUCCCCCCCCUCAACAUUCCACUGGGCCUCAGGGGUCCCAUCCCUACCCUUACCACUUUAGACCAACGGACAGUAAGGACAACCACAGCUUCACAUACACUGGCCUGUGAGAGCCACAGUUGCUGUAUGUGUAGCCCAAAUGGACAGGAAUGUUCUUUCUCCUUGUUAAGCUCUGUUCUGUUAAUUUAUUAAGGUUUUAAUGUACGUGCUUUUAAAUUGCACAGAUUUUUUUUGCACUGGUUUUGUUACUCAAUAAAAUUAUAUUUUUGGGAUAAUAAUUCAUCUUUAUUAAUUCCCAACAUGCGCUGCAGAAUGCCUAGCAGUACUGAAAGCACCCAUUUACUUUGUACGGUGUGACACAACUCAUAGGAUCAGUGACAAACACAGUGUAAUAAUUGUAAAUGUACAGCAAGCACCGCAAAAUUAAUAGGUGCCUCAACAGUGUUCUAGUCAUGGAUGUACACCUAACAGGCCCCAAAACUGCAGGGCCAGGUAGAGCACAGUCCAUCACAAUGCAUUAUUGUGGCUUACUGGCAAAGGGUUUUUCAAGGCCUUCUUCAGCUGUAUAGCUCCACAUUGAGCACUUCUAAUAGCCCUUGUGUCUGGCUGUUCAAAUUCAACAGACAGCUGCUCCACAUCCACCUUCCACCCUGGCAGCAUCUUUUCUUCCUUUGCCUCACAGAUAGUAUGCAGGACACAGCAGGCACCUAUAACCACUGGGAUGUUUUUCUCACAGAGAUCCAAUCAGGUGUGUAAACAAUGCCAGUGUCCUUUCAACUUACAUUCAGCUGUCAUUCUACACCAGCUGAGCUGGCAGUCGAAUCUUAUCCUUGGUGCUGCCAAGGUGGCCAGUGUAUGGCUUCACGAGCAAGGGGUAGGCUGCAUCCUCCAGGAUCACUAUGGGCAUUUCAACAUUGCCUGUGGUAAUCCGCUGGUCAUGAAAGAAAGUCCUUGCUUCCAGCUUUCUGAAUAGUUCUGUGUUCUUAAAGAUGCACCUUCCCUGACCAGCCAACAUGGAUGUCAGUGAAGUGUUUCCAGUGAUCAACCAGCGCUUGCAUAACCAUAGAAAAAUAGCCGUUUCUGUUCAUAUACCCUGUGGCAGGGUGGGCUGGUGCCAAAAUAGGGAUAUGCUGCCAGCUUUUGCUGCACGGCAGUUCAGGAACUCAGUUGCCACAAAUCCAUCCACUACGUCCUGCACGUUGCUGAGAGUCACAGUCCUGCAUAGCAGGAGACAGUUAAUGGCCCUGCACGGUUGCAUGACCUCUGUGGAUUUUCCAACUGCAGAAUGAUUUUCCCGCUGACCUGUGGAAAUCCGGCAUUGCAAGUUUCCAUGGUGUUAUUGCCACUUACUUCUCUGCUGUCAGUGCAGCUCUCAGUCUAGUGUCGCUGUGCUGGAGGGCUGGGGUGAGCUCGGCACACAGAUCCAGGAGUAUGGCCUUUUGCAGCCAAAAGUUCUGCAGUCUUUACUCAUUCUAUCAAAAAACCUGCAUUAUGAUGCGAUCCCACCAAUCCGUGCCCGUUUUUUGAGCCCAGAAACGGCGCUCCACCAUCUACAGCCUCUCUGUGAACGAAAGUAACCAUCUUGAACUGGCUUUCGUUCUGUCCCACAGCUAUCUGUCGUCCAUGAAAGCAUCAUGUUCCCUGCUGAUUCAGUUCUUGCGCCUCUGCAAAUACCAGAGGAUCGUGUACCCUAUGCGUGCAACUCUCACGACAAUAAUGCAGAGCUGUGCAGGCUCCAUGCUUCUGUCAGAGAUGGCAGACAGUGAGGAGAGCCACGUGGGUUCAUGGGAUUUUUAAAAAAGGCAUGAAAAUGAUGGGAUAUGGAUGACAUUCUGGGAUGAAGAAUGUUGCAUGCUGGGAAGCUGACCCUUUGCUCCUGGCCACCCCUGUGUGACUUGUUUCCACCCCACCAUAAAUUACCAAAAUUUUCCAAAAGACAGUGCGCUGGAAGGUGCACCCACACAAGCACUCCUGGUGAGCGCGCACAUCGCUGACACAAGCAGUAUAGUAACUGCAGCAGCUUUAUGCCAGCAUAACUUGCAUUGGCCAAAGUUUGUGAUGUAGAUGUGUCCCAAGGGAACGACUUGGGCAACUGUUAAGUGACAUCAGAACUAACCCACCAAUGCUCACAUUUCCUCUGUAGCUAAUUUGCGUGUAGCAAUUCCAUUGGUUGUACUUGCUGGGCGCAAAUUAAUUCUGACUGUCUUGUAUUCAGAGAUUAACUCCCUGAUAUUGGUUUGAGUGGCCAGUUAAUUUUCUUUAGUCUUGUCUGCUUUACUGGCACACAUGGAGUCUUUUUCAUGCUACGAGCCUAAAACGCUCUUGGAUGUUCCUUGGUGGUGGUGGUGGUGGUGUUUUGUUUUGUUUUUGUUUUUUGUUUUUUUUAAUUUUCAGAUUCUUUGGGAGGUAUCCAUCCUCUGGUCCCUGUGCUCUGCUUUUGGGGAUGGGGGUUGAAAUGUGUUUACGGAGAGAAUGGAGACAACUUAUUCUGUUGUUUUUCAGAGCCAUAGAUGCCUAUUCAAUAUUGUAAACACAUUUGCUUGCUAGUUUGUGCUAUAAAGUGACACCAGGGAAACUGCCAUGGGGUUUUUGUUUUAAGGAAAAGAUGCCACGAAUUCCUUUGCUACCUUGUACUGUGUAGAUGCUGCUGUUUGGCACAGGUUGUAGCAGAUACAGCGUGCCCUAAAUGAGCUUGUGUCUUGUGUUCUUGCAAUAAAAAAUGCUUUUGUUUUUAUACUUAAACUCCUUGCAGUCUGUGGGUCCUCGGUUACAUAACAACAAUAAUAAUAGCAUGCUCUCGUAUAGUGUUUUUCAUCUAGAGAUCUCCAGGCGCUUUACAAAGGUCAUCUUUAGCCUCAUUUUACAGAUGGGGAAACUGAGGCAGAGAGCGGUUCAGUGACUUGCCCAUGGUCACCUUGCAGGCCCCUUGCAGAAUUGAGACUAGAACCCACGUCUCCUGAGUUUGUCCAGUACUCUAUCCACUAGGCAGUACUGCUUCUGUUCUCUAUUUUCCAUUACCUGAAAGUGGGUGAACGAAUGGGGGGAGAAUGGGACAGGAUGGGACUAAGCAACAUUGCAUCUCUAGCAUGGUGGUAGCGUAAGGAGGGUUGGCUGAACCAAAAUAGGUAGUGGGUGACAGGCAGGGAAGACCACGACAGAUGGUCCUUUUCUGUGGCUGGGAAGGAGGAUGGAAAGCGGUGGAUAGGAGAGAGGUAGAGCAUAGAUGACGAGAAACAGGGAUCGAUGCUUCUGCUUCUUCUAUAGUUAUAUCUGCCCAUUUGCAUAUGCUAAUCAUAGUUCCCAGGAGAAAGUUUUCCUCAAACUUCUUGAAACCUUGUCCUCCCAUGUCGCAUGUUUGUUGGUUGAUGGAGUUACUUCGACUUGACUGUCAGCAGCAGAUCCUACCUUAAUGUCAACGACAGCUGAGAGACAGUACAGUCAGUGUUUUCCCUCCGUCUGUGAGGGUUGGCAGCUUUCACUAGUCACAGUGACACACAGGGGUCAUUGGCACGGCAGCUUGAGGUGGAAUUUCCUGAGGGGGUAGACAUGUGCAUGCGAGCGUUGAUCGUGCUAACAUGCUACAAAUGACAGUUUAGUGGCAGUGCGGGCAGUGAGAUGGGCUAGCUGCUCACGUACAUACCUAGGAUCUCAGACAGGAUUGUACUCAGGGUGGCUAGCCUGUCUCAUUGCCUGCGCCGUUAUGGUUAUGCUGCUAUUUUUAGUGUGCGAGCUCGAUCAGCACUAGCGUGCACAUGUCUACCCAAGCUGGAAAUUCACCUCCAGCACCAGUCCAUUCUGUGUCAUGUUUGGAGUGCUACGUGACCAUCAUCGUCUCCUUUUUCCCAGCGCCCGGGUUGGGUAGGCCGAUGUUAUGAGCUGCCUUCGCCCGUGUCUGUUUUGAGCCUUUUGGGGCACAACUAUCUUCUUGGAUGUCCACGACUCUCUCUCCAUGCAGUCUUCCAUAGAGAACAAUUUUAGGCAGCUGGGACAGGGUCAUUCUAGCAAGAUGGCCCAAUCGUUGGAGUUGGGACCUUUUGAUGAUUGUAGUCACUUUUUCAGGCUUCUACAGAUGUAAUUAUAUCGUAGUCUACCCAUCCUUGCCAUGCCUAGGUUAUGGCCCAA